rnacentral:lncRNA from 1 species
UGUGCCUCAGGUGUUAACUCCCUGCAGAAACUAAGUGAGUGCUUAACACAGUGAGAUCUCGCCUGCAACUUCUGGUUUAAAACUUCUGUGUCCAUCUCAACAUUUUUGAUGGGUUCAGUGAGAAGCAACCGCUCUGCAGUAAACACAAUCACGUGUCACUGGACAACAGGAGCACACUCUGAGACGCGUUGUUAGGUGAGUCCGUCCUCUGCGAACAUCAUAGCACGUUUAUGCAAACGACAGCUCUGAUGUCACUAGGCCAUGCAACCUUUGGGGAUCACUGUGGUACAUGUGAUCCAUCAUGGACUCAAAUGUCAUCAUGCAGCAUGUGGCUGUACUAAUAAGAACUAAUAAAGGGCUUCUCCAAAUGGUUGCUUUUAUAUGCGCACACACACAUAUAUG